UCAAUUCAUGUCGGUGGAAGCUGCGAGAAGUGGCGCGCAAUAAAUAAUCGCAAAAAACAAAGAAGAAGAAGAAGAAGAA
rnacentral:sRNA from 14 species